AGGUCCGAUCGGUACCCUCUCAGCUUCUUGGAGAGUCAAGAGUCUGCAGUGAUGCAGGUUGCUUGAUGGAGAUUCUUAGUUCUAAACUUUGUCUAGGUCACACCCCAAAGGGGAUGAGACUACUGGGCCAUUAGCUCAGGUGGUUAGAGCGCACCCCUGAUAAGGGUGAGGUCCCUGGUUCAAGUCCAGGAUGGCCAUUCGGUGUUGGGGGUUUAGCUCAGUUGGUAGAGCGCCUGCUUUGCAAGCAGGAUGUCAGGAGUUCGAGUCUCCUAACCUCCACUGACCGAACUUUGUCCCCAACUUCAAUGAUAUGGAGUUGAGCUCGAAUGGAGUGUGAUUUAGAUGUGUCCGCUGGAAGGAUCCUAGCUUCCUGUCAUUCUAAGGAUUGAUUUGAAUCAGUUUGAUUUUGAUCAAUGUUUAGUUGAUAAGAUGCUGGGCUCGAACUGAGCAAUCAGUUUGAAGUUCUAGCAGAACCUUGACAACUGCAUAGGUGAGUCUGGAAAGAAUAAAGCAUCUCAUGGAUGCAUCAUUCUUUUUUGGAUGAUGUUUGAUUCUUGAGCAAGAGCCGAGACUCCACCACGUUCUUCUGAUUGUGUCGAGCAAUUGGGAGUUUGAUCUUUGAUUCAGCAAUGAAUCAGAGAGAAUCCGUUUCAACGACGGCAAGCGUGAUGGAGAUUAAUUGGUCAAGCUACAAAGGGCUCACGGUGGAUACCUAGGCACACAGAGGCGAUGAAGGACUAGUGAUUCUAUUUUUUGAGAGCCGAGACCUUCUAGCGUUCUUCCCAAUCCGCCGAGGAGCGGGGAGUUUGAUCCUUCUUUCUAACUGAUGAGUGAGCAGAGCAAUCUGUUUAUUGAUUAAGGGAAAGUCGAGAGAAUGGGCCUCAACAGCCUGAAGCGUUAGGAGGAUUAAUUGGUCAAGCUACAAAGGGCUCACGGUGGAUACCUUGGCACACAGAGGCGAUGAAGGA
rnacentral:tRNA from 1 species